GGCCUGUUAGCUCAGCUGGUUAGAGCGUGGUGCUAAUGACGCCGAAGGUUGUGGGUUCGAUCCCCACAUGGGCCA